rnacentral:rRNA from 1 species
UACGAAGGGGGCUAGCGUUGCUCGGAAUCACUGGGCGUAAAGCGCACGUAGGCGGCUUUUUAAGUCAGGGGUGAAAUCCUGGAGCUCAACUCCAGAACUGCCUUUGAUACUGAGAAGCUCGAGUCCGGGAGAGGUGAGUGGAACUGCGAGUGUAGAGGUGAAAUUCGUAGAUAUUCGCAAGAACACCAGUGGCGAAGGCGGCCCACUGGUCCGGUACUGACGCUGAGGUGCGAAAGCGUGGAGAGCGAACAGG